rnacentral:lncRNA from 1 species
UUGUUUUUUUGUUACUUUUUGCAACUUUUUGUAACUUUGUAAAUAAUGUCUGUAUAUUUAUGAAAUUUGUAUCCUUUGGGUAAAAAUUUCACGCCGUAUUUUGGUGUAUUUAUGGAGAAUAUUUAAUAGAGUUCGCACAGGCAGUUCAUUUACCAGAAAUAUGAUUUUCAAACAAUCAUUAUUCAAAGUUUGGACAAGAUGCCUCUCAUCAAGUAGUCCUGCGCAACCCAAACUAGUGCUGGGAUGUGGUAGUAAUGUUGUUGACCAGUUCUAUAUGGUACAAGGUACAUACGUGGUAUAUAAACCAGAGUAUUGUUUAUAGAUUGUUUGCUUACUGGCACUGCCAAAGAAUAUUGAAGCAUGCAAAUACCUUUGGAGAAAGUACUGUGGAAAGUUUGUAUCAUGGCAACUGAGAUAUUGGGUUGAGUAUUUUGAUGCUUUCUAUAUAUUUACCAUUACAUUUUCUAAAUCUCGGCUGUGCAAUUGGCAAACUUUCCAGUCAGGCUUCUGGAUAAUGAGUGUUUAUUUAACCCAUUGAGUCGCGUUGUGCCCAUUGUGCCCUACUGUAUUAUUUUGCUCUGUCUAACUCCAGACAAUUUUACUGAUGAAGGUGAGAUUUCUGACGCUCAAUGGGUUAUAAUAAUCAAACUACUCUGGCUAACGCAAGACGAUUUUACUCAUUAAGGAGGGAGUAAUGGCCCUCUCAUUGAAUCUAGUUGUGCCCUACUUUAUUAUUUUACUUUGUCUAAUGCCAGACAAUUUUACUUGUCAAGAGGAGAGUGAUGGUGCUUAAUGAGUUAACUGGCCUAUCUGCCCAUGUAUCUAAUUAACCCAUUGAGUCGCAUUGUGCCCUGAUGCACCCUACUUUAUUGUUUUACUGUGUCUAAUGCCAGAUGAUUUUACUUGUCAAGGGGAGAGUGCUGGUGCUUAAUGGGUUAAACUGGAUGUGGGUGGAGCUACCCGGCUACCUGUGUUGCCCCAUAUUGCCACAAUAUAGUGUUUGGUAAUUUGCAUUUAUAAUUGGAACCAAACUAGCUUGCCUAACCAGGGAGAUAUUUAUCUUGCUUUGCAUUGCACAGGUAUGGGUAUAUGCCUAAGCUUGUUCAACUAUAUGUUCAGCUCAUAAUGAAAUUCUCUACUUAAAUUCUAGCUGUACCAAAGGUUGGGGAGAAAGGAUAUUUUGCCAGGUUUGUUUAAUUGAAAAGUUGAAGCAAAGUCUUAUAAAAAUGCCCACAUACAAUUUGAAGUGUAUCAUGUCUUUAAGUAUGGUAGCCUGUGAUUCCAUUAUUUACUCAUAUGCAAUUUAUAGUCCAAAUAAAACUCAUGAGAAGAGUAUUGUUGGUGGUGUCACAUUAAACCAUUUGUCCUGGGCAUCUAUUCUUGGAGGUAAUUGAUUGAAUUCAUUGUUGAAUAAUUCAACAUAUUUUGUGAUUGCAACAGUCAAUAGUCAGUCAUAAAAAAGCAAAAACAUUUCCCAGUAUUAGUAGCAAGACAGUACGUACUGUACUUAAAUCAUUUUCAUUACCAGAAUGAACUUUUUUAAUACUUUAUUCUUGCUUAGUUCCAACAGGCUUACUGGCACUGCAAGGUGAUGACAAGUCUGGAAAAUUGAUACGUAAAACUAUGAAAAACAUGAAUGUCUCCACAGAGUUCGUACAAGGUAGGAAAGGCAGAUCACUAGUGGUGGCUUCCCCCCUGGAGAAUUUGUCCCUCCCCUGUUCUUCCCCUCAGAAAAUGCACACCCUGCCCCCCCCCCCAAAAAAAAAUGAGUAAAUCCCCUUCUCCCAAAAGCAACCUCCCUGAAUAAAGUAGAUCCAUACUUGGUGAUUUAACUUUAACAUGUUUGCACAGCAACUGAAUGUUACAAAAUAUAUCUAUUUUCUUUUUGCUAUAGUCAGUAAAGAGUUUACAACUGGUGAGGUUAGUAAUAUGCAUUAAUGAAAAGAUCAUUUUGUUAAAUGUUUCUAUAUCUUGAAACAUAUGUACACAGCCAAAAAGUAUAAAUUAUAGUACGUUGGUUUCAUGUUUCAUUGCUUCAUAUGUUUUUUAUGGGUUCAGUGGUGGGGGCAGGGGGAGAGGGGGCAACCGCCCCCUCCAAUCACCACAAAACCAUUUUCCCAAAAAGCCUAAAUCCGCACAGCUAAAACAGUCAAUGCUAAAACUCGACCUAGGACAAUGACAAUUUACUGCUCAAGUGUGCUCACAAACAUGCUCGUGAGCACAUUAAAGUGUGCUCAUGAGCAUAUCAAUAUCAAGUAUUGUCAUGAGCAUGCUCAUAUAUACAAGAAAAUCAUGCAGUAUGCUCAUAAGCAGGCUCAUGAACAUACUGCAGGAUUUUGGUAUAAGCGUGAGCACCCUCAUAUAUACACAAAAAUCAUGCAGUAUGCUCAUUACAGGAGCAUAUAUUACAGGAUUUUGGUACAUAUAUUGAAAUCCGGUAUCCAUCCUUUAUAGCCAGAAACCAUCGUGGCUAUAAGGUAUGGCAAAAUCCUGUAUCCUCCUGUGGCUAUAAGGAAUACCGAAAUCCUGUAUUGUUUACAGCCACAAACCGCCAUGCAGAUGGCUAUACAGUAAGUAUGCCGAAAUCUCGUUUCCUAUAGCCACAAACCGCCAUGGCUAUAUAUAAAGUAUGGCAAUUAAUCCUUUAUUUUUUAUAGCCACAAACCUCUGUGGCUAUAAGGAUCGAAUACUGUAAUCCGGUAUCCUUUGCAAGCACAAACCGCUGUGGGUAUAAGUAUGCCGAAAUCCGGUAUCUUUUAUAGCUGCAAACCACAUUGGCUACAUGUAAGGUCAUGUAAUACAAUGGCGAAAUCCGCUAUCCAUAAAGGUCCAGACACACCGGACGCGAUUCGACAAAGUGACGCAAUUUUUUAGUUUUUGAAAAAUAAAACAGCCGGCCAAUGUGCAAUGAGAGCAAAUUUUAAAAGAUAUGUGGACCAAGUAACUCAAAAUGUUAUAACGCUUCUAAAUAUUUGGAAAAUUUAAACUAGGAUCAAAUUAUCGGUCAGUGAAAAUCGAAAAAUCACAUCGCGUUGUCGAAUCACGUCCGGUGUGUCUGGAGUUUUUAUAGCCACAAAUCGCUGUGACUAUAUGCCGAAAACCGGUACAUACUUACCGAUUGACAUAGCAUGAAUGUUUCCUCUCAAACUUAUUCUGUAUCUUACGAAAAGUGAAUUUUGAGAAUGCGAGAAGUAUUAAUGUUUUACCUUUUGUGAUAUCAUUUUCUUUCAAACAGUCGUUUGUGUUUGUUCAAGAAGAUGGUGAGCGGUCCAUUGUGAUGGCCACCGGCGCCACAAGUCUGAUGAACGAGAAAAUUGCAAGGCAUUAUUUUGGUAUGGCGAAACAUGAGAGAUGAGGUUGUGAUAGAAUGUGAGAUGCAUUCAAGAAUGAUAAACAGAAAAAUGAGACAGAAAGAUGAUGAUUGAUAAAAUUAUGGUAGACAGAAAGAUAUAGCUGGCGUGUCAAAGCUAUAGCUGCCCCGUCCAAAAAAAUACCCUUGGUGUAGCAACCUAUUUUUGUGGAUGUGGUUAAAAGACACAACACUUGAAAUUAAUUGUCAUACACUCAUAAGUUAUAAUUCAGCGUUUUUUCGCAAAAAAAAAGUAUAGAAACGUGUGCAUGGAUAAAGUUAUAACCAACUAGCAGCUGACAACUUUUGAGGUAUUCAAGAAAUUUAGUUUUAGUAGUUUAGUUUUAAUAAUUAGCUUUCGUACAUCAUCGUACGAAGAGUUAAAUAACAGAGCAAGCUCCAAUCAAGGUUUAACCCUGAAUGUUACAAAGCUUACGGUAGAUCACGAUAGAUAGAAAGAUGAGAGACAUGAGGAAUGAGAGAAAAGUAUUAUAGACAGAAGAAUGAUGGACUUUUGCUGACGAAAGUAAUAAGAAUAGCAGAAGAUAGAUAGAAGGUUGCUAAAUAGGGUGUUCGGUAAACAUAUGAUAAUCACGUAAAAACCUCACAUCUUCUCAAAUCUCUCAUCCAACAAACCGUCAACACGUUGUGUUCGCACUGCUUGUCUCAAGUUGUCAACAGGUUUGGAACGAGCUGUUAACAAUUUGUAACAACCUUGUUGAUAUUAUCAGAAUUGUUGCAAGUUUGUUCCAACAAGUCCAAUACAGUCAUGAUAUAACAAUAUUGUUACAACCUUGUGUCGUCAACCUUGUAACAUUCUUGUUAUAUCAUAACUGUAUCAGACUUGUUAGAACAACCUUGUAACAAGUCUGAUAAUGCCAUCAAACUUGUAACAAGUUGUCAACAGCUUGUUCCAAACUUGUUGCAACAACUGGGAACAAGCAGUGCGAACACAACUUGUCGACAGCUUGUGAACAGAUUUGCAUGUAACAACUUGUUUGCAGACCUGUAACAACUUGUGCGUUUUUACGUGUGUAUAGAUGGGAAAUAGUCAUAGAAGACUAUAUUCUUUGAAUUUUAGAGAAAGCGAUUAUGAAUGAUUGUCAAAUGUUAACCACAGAAAUUUCUCAAGUUCCGUUAUCUGGCGUUCUUGCCGUUCUACAAACUGCGAAGUAAGUUUUUUUUAAAGCACUGAUGUGAUUUUUCAUCAUUGUCAUUGAAACAAUCAGCAUUGCAAAUCACUUACUGCCAAAGAAUGUUAUUGAUUAGAACUGUCCAUUAUGAAACUAAUUUCUUGAUUUUAAGAGCAGCAGGGAUUACAACAGUCUUAGAUCUCGACGUUUCUCCUUCGGUAAGAACACACUAUAACGUACAGACGUUAUUUUUGUGCACAUGUUUUGAAAUUCAUAUUGGUUAUUUGUAUUUGAUUCUAUAUCUUGCUUUUAUUCUCACUAUAGGUUGCAAUCAACGAAGCUCAACUUGGAACCAUUGAUGAACUGAUAGAGUUAGUACCAAUGAAAUCGCUUAAUCUUUAAUUUUUGUACAGCCAAUUCAAAAAUGGUUGUCCUUUGCAAACCUUAAUCUCUAAGCCUUCAACCUUAAACGCGCGCAAAGCUUAAUGGGAGCACAAGUUUGAAGCUUAGUAGUUGAAUAUUCCAGCUAUUUGUGACUGAAUUGUUCUCGUAAGGAGAUAUUUACCAUGUCUCUAAGAAAUGAGCCCCAUGCAUAUAUGAUUUCUAAACUGAUUAAAUGAUGCUCCCAUUAUGCUUUGCACGCUUAGAGUUUAAGGGUUGAAGUUUAAGGUUUGCAAAGGACAACCUUUUUUGAUUAGCUUUAUACUAAAGUUUAGUCUGAGUAAUACCAAUAUAUCAAUGGCCAAUUUAAGAAAGCUUGAAAGCUUAACCACUGUCUGGUGUAUAGCAGAGCCUGGAAUAACGGACGGACAUCGGACAUUUUCUGGCCAAAUCACAGUUUUUCCAACCAAAUGCUGAUUUGGUCGGACAUUUUGUCCGGACAAAAAAUAGCAAUCAACCUUCUUGAAAGACUGGGUUCACCAUAAGCUGUGUGCAAUCCUCGCGCAAAGAACGUUAAAUGUAAAAGAUUUAACUAUACUGGCUUGUGUUUGGCAUAGAGUAUUAUUUAUAUAUUGGCUUAAUUUAUCCAACGAAGGCGUGAAAUCAAAAUGGAAUCGAAAAAAUAUCCGACCAAAUUUCAGAGAUUCCGAUCAAAUUUUAUUUUGGUAGGAUAUUUUUCCGAACAAAUUUUGAACGUUGUUUCGGGCUAUGCUUUCGACGUUUCGUACGACCGAUCCCUGGGUACCAAUUAUGAGAGUUUAAUAAAUCACUGUGUCUUUUUUGUAUUUAGAUGCGUAAGAACGGCCGAUAUCUUGAAGCCAGCGAAGCACGCUGCCAAAGAAAUGCUUCCUUACUUAGCAUCUGAGAUAAUGUAAGUUUUCUGUAUACCACUUUUAUCUAUAAUGUGUUUUAAAAUCGACUUCUCGCAUGUAAAAUUAAGAUGGAUUUUAUUUGUGAAGGGUUGACAACAUGGUGGAACUAACCAAAGUUAUGAGAGAAGCGUGUGGUUCAAAACUUAUCGCAAUUACAUGUGGUGAAGAUUCCUCCAUCUUGGCCACAGAAAACCAUGUGAGUUCUGCAAACAUAUCUAGUCUAGUGACUGGAUCGGUUUUUAAUCGCGGGAGAAGGCUUAUAGCAGGCAUACUCUGGGAUCUAAACUCGCCUUAAAUCGCAUUAAAUCACGGGUUAAAAUUGUCAUCCCAAAUGCAUAAAGUUAUACAAAAACAGCGAUGUAAAUAUGUAGGACCCAGGGCAACUCGAAGGACAAAAAUGGUUCCGAGAAGAGCAGAUUUGCGAAUUGUGCUAUGCCUAUGCCUUCUCGCCUCCCGUCUUUCCCCAGCGCGGCUAGCAUCGCGGAAGCGAAAGGCAGGAACUAAGCUGGGAAACAUUGUUGUUUCAAAUGUCUUCAAAUGUUUUCCGGUUGCGUUUUCUCAAAAACAUCAUUCUUUGAAUAUUCUCCCGUUUGUCCAACCUUAAUUUGCAACAUUGAACAACAUUCCUUUUAACGUGAUUUUGGACUCGCAGAUAUUGUUUCGAUUUUUUCCCAACAGUUAGUUAAAGUUCCAUCAGUUCGUGUGUCACGUGUGGUGGAUGCGACCGGGGCAGGGGACGCGUUUCUUGGGGGAUUGGUAUCAGGUU